rnacentral:lncRNA from 1 species
UACAUGACUUAAAGAAAGAUAAUAAAAAACAACAAAAGACAUGUAAUGCGGACUCUAAACGGACUCUAAGACCCCAUACAGCCCUAAACGAAACACAAAAUAUCACACAAAGACAAACAAUAUUUAAAAUCUACUCCUAUGGUAAGGCUUGUAGCUUUGGCUAACAAGACACACUCACCUGUCUAGCUAUGCUAAAAUUUAAAAGCAAGUAAAGUUGCCAAGAAUUGGAAAGAAAGAGCACCAAGGACUCUUCCCACACCACUUGGACUUGCAAUGGCCUUUUACAAUUUAAAGAAAUCUAACAAAGGAAAACCUAUUACAAGUCAACAAUGAACACUACAAUUACAAAAGAAAGCUAAGAAUUGCUGCUACCAUGUUCUGAUUUUGUUCAAAUCCAAGUGUUGGACAACUUCUGGAUACUUUUUUUUUUUUGGAGUCUUCUAGCUUUUUGGUUCAACUUUCUGUUCUUAGUUUUGGUGCCUUGCUGCUGCUUAAAAACUCAACUGCACCAAUUCUUUCUCUCGGCUUUACUGUAAUGGAUGUGGAGGAUCGAUCCAAUUUUCCCCUGCUGCAGCUUGAAAUAAACAAAGCUUUUCAAGGGGUUGUGGUUUUGCUGCCAAAUGCAUAUGCUGCAGAAUGAACUUGAUUGGAAGAUUUGCUGUUGCGGCUGUUUUUCUCUUGUGCCGUGUUGAAAGUCUACACAAUUUCCACUGCUGCAACCAAUGUUAUAAUACUUUCCAAAUUACAUCUGCAUAGCUGUAACAUGCCAAACAACAAAUACUCCAAGCAAAGUGGAAAUCAACAAGUAUAUUUGACAAAAUCAGUUCAACUUUUGAUCUAAAUUCAUUUAUACUUGUGAUUUAAAUUAAUGAUUCAAAUUUAGUAACAAGAUUAGCAGACAACUGUGCACAAAGAAAGGGGAAAAAGUGUGGCAGUGCAGCUUUAGAUUCUCAAAAUAAUUGAACACUGCACUGUAGGCAGCCUCAAAUCUCUCAGCUGCAAGGGUCUUUGUGCAGUUUUACUGUUUCAGCACUCAGAAAUGGUAAAAAAAUGGUGUGCAGCUUUGGCUUCUCUCAAGAAAAUUGAAUCUGCAAUUGGAUUCUCACAAAGGUUACAGCUGCAAAGUAAGGAAGCUGCUGUCACAUGGAAAUUCCACACCAGAAUUUGCAGCUUACGAGUGUACUGCUGUGCCGAAUUGCAUCCUUCCAAGUGAUCUUUUCCUUCACCAAUCCUCUUCCUAAAGUGCUACUAAUUAUGUCAAGCCGUCUACAACAAUGUUGUAACCACAAAUGAACUCACACCAAUCCACAUUCAUCAAGUUUGAGUGCAGAAAUUGGGACUUUUGCUGCUGCAAUGAUAACAAAACAGAACACAUCACUGGAAAUAUAAGAAACAGUUGGUGUGCAGAAGUCCAAACAAGCAAAAAUCAAGCAAUUAAUUGGUGUUCAAUGAUAGGUGGCACUCAAAAGGAACUUAGGAAAGGUUCUAGAGUAGAUUUGAAAAGCAAGAAACAAAGAUAAGUUGCAGAAACAUUUAAUUCAACUCAAAAGGAAUUUAAGCAAAAGUGUUUGGAGAAAUGCCUAAAUGAACUGCUGAAAACUAUGCAUCCAGUUUCAGACUUAUGUCAAUUGGCACGGUUCCUCUUGCUUUUACAAUGCAGCAUAUACGUAUUUUGAUUUAUGCUUUCAUUCUUUUUCUUUAAUUACUUGAACCAAGCAUUUUGCUACCAAUGAUCAUACAAUAUGGAUGCACACUUCACAACAAUACUGUCAUAAAAACGCUGCAACUUAUUAAAACAAAAUAAUGCUGAAUAAUGAAAUCAGAUUGGUUAUAUUUAGCAGAUAGGUAUAUCUUUCUGAUUUAGAGCUUUCAGCAACUUUAAUUGAGCAUAAAUGACAUAUAUCAAUUGUCAAGUGAGACAAUUCAUGCUUGAAUAAAAAAUUGCCUAUAUCAGUUGCCAUUUCACGCUAAAUCAUAACCAAUGCAUUAAUCAAAUUUCAGCAUAAGAUUCAAAAGUGUUUGGAUCAGUGAUUUGGCACUUGGAGCAAGUCUGGUUUGCCAAAUAUAUCAGAUUGAAGUGGAUGGCAGUGACUGCACACGACUAUUGCAAAUUCUCACCACACAGGUUGCUUAAUUCAACCAAAAAUGAUUCAUACCACAUGGAAAUUCAUCCUAAUGCUUCAAACAAUUAUGAAACACAAUUUGAUGAAUCCAAACAGCAAGCUAAGUUGAACACAAACUCUAUAGAAUUAUGAAGAAGUCCAGACAAGGAUACUACAGCUGGACCGAUUAAAAAAAAUUACAAAGACUCUCUGCAAAGAUGUAUGCAACACGGUUCAAGCUGCUGUGUAAUAGAUUUGGAAUCUGCAGAGUAAUGCUCUCCACUAUAAUAUCUUAAUCAUAUUUUGUGGAAUGCAUUUUCCUCUUAUUGCAUCAUAUCCAACACUCACAAACAAUCAAUCAUGAGAUUAAAACAGAAUAGCAUAAAACACAAUUGAUUGUACGGAUAACACUUUUCCACCUGAUGCAAACCAAAAUUCAAAUAUGAAACAAUUAUACUUUGUCAACCUCUGGUACUGCUUUGUUGAGGAGAUUUAAGAUGCACUAAGCUUCUAUUGAAUUACUCCAAUCAACUAUGCAGAUUUAUCCACACACGGUUGAACUUGGAAAUUGGACAUAAUGGAAACAACAAUGAACAUGACUUAGACAAACAGCAGUAGGAUUUAAAAAAAAAUAAAAAAACUCAAAUCUAUGAAAUGAACCGAUUAAAAUGCUAAGACCAAAUCAAAUCAAAGCUGGAUCAAACAAGUGACUCAAAGGAACCUAUGGAAUUUAAGAGAAGCAAUGGAACAGUGAACUGAACACAGACAUGUCAAACAAUAUUUGACAACUCGGACAUGAAACGAGAACUUAUCUGGACAGCGAGAUCGCUCACGGAGCUGGAAUAUAAUGCAGCAACCAAGCUCUGAUUACCAAUUGAUGACCUCGAUCCAGUCGGUGGAAGAGAAAACAAGCAACGAAUGUUUUUUGUAGAGUUUGAUAGCAGCAGAGAAUGAAGUUUAGUGGAAGAAUGUGGUGGCAGGGGAGCUCUCGGUGGCAGUGAAAUCUAGUUUAGACGGCUUCCAUAGUUGGAAGGAACUAGGUGGUGAGGGAAAAGGUCAAGGUAGUAUGACUUUCGGAUAGAGUGUUGUUUGCUGGAAAUUCAACAGCAGAAAACAAUCUUUCAUAAAUUCCAAAAGU